rnacentral:rRNA from 1 species
GUGGGGAAUAUUGGGCAAUGGGCGAAAGCCUGACCCAGCAACGCCGCGUGAAGGAAGAAGGCUUUCGGGUUGUAAACUUCUUUUAUCAGGGACGAAGGAUGUGACGGUACCUGAUGAAUAAGCCACGGCUAACUACGUGCCAGCAGCCGCGGUAAUACGUAGGUGGCAAGCGUUGUCCGGAUUUACUGGGUGUAAAGGGCGCGUAGGCGGAGAGACAAGUCAGAUGUGAAAUCUAUGGGCUUAACCCAUAAACUGCAUUUGAAACUAUCUCCCUUGAGUGAUGGAGAGGCAAGCGGAAUUCCUAGUGUAGCGGUGAAAUGCGUAGAUAUUAGGAGGAACACCAGUGGCGAAGGCGGCUUGCUGGACAUUAACUGACGCUGAGGCGCGAAAGCGUGGGGAGCAAACAGGAUUAGAAACCCGUGUAGUCC